rnacentral:tRNA from 2 species
GGUCGCAUAACUCAGCGGUAGAGUGCUUCCUUCACACGGAAGAAGUCGUAGGUUCGAAUCCUGCUGCGACCACCA